rfam:Myotis brandtii contig229746, whole genome shotgun sequence.
GGCAGUUCUCGGGUGACACGCCCCGGAAUUGGGCUCCCUCAUCUCUGGUUCCGGGUGUGUCACCCGAGAACUGCA